UGUUCAUGCGGUGACGGUAUUUAACCAGAAAGUCACGGCUAACUACGUGCCAGCAGCCGCGGUAAUACGUAGGUGGCAAGCGUUGUCCUGGAUUUAUUGGGCGUAAAGAGAGUGCAGGCGGUUUUUUAAGUCUGAUGUGAAAGCCUUCGGCUCAACCGGAGAAGUGCAUCGGAAACUGGAUAACUUGAGUGCAGAAGAGGGUAGUGGAACUCCCAUGUGUAGCGGUGGAAUGCGUAGAUAUAUGGAAGAACACCAGUGGCGAAGGCGGCUACCUGGUCUGCAACUGACGCUGAGACUCGAAAGCAUGGGUAGCGAACAGGAUUAGAUACCCUGGUAGUCCAUGCCGUAAACGAUGAGUGCUAGGUGUUGGAGGGUUUCCGCCCUUCAGUGCUGCAGCUAACGCAUUAAGCACUCCGCCUGGGGAGUACGACCGCAAGGUUGAAACUCAAAGGAAUUGACGGGGGCCCGCACAAGCGGUGGAGCAUGUGGUUUAAUUCGAAGCUACGCGAAGAACCUUACCAGGUCUUGACAUCUUGCGCCAACCCUAGAGAUAGGGCGUUUCCUUCGGGAACGCAAUGACAGGUGGUGCAUGGUCGUCGUCAGCUCGUGUCGUGAGAUGUUGGGUUAAGUCCCGCAACGAGCGCAACCCUUGUUAUUAGUUGCCAGCAUUAAGUUGGGCACUCUAGUGAGACUGCCGGUGACAAACCGGAGGAAGGUGGGGACGACGUCAGAUCAUCAUGCCCCUUAUGACCUGGGCUACACACGUGCUACAAUGGACGGUACAACGAGUCGCGAACUCGCGAGGGCAAGCAAAUCUCUUAAAACCGUUCUCAGUUCGGACUGCAGGCUGCAACUCGCCUGCACGAAGUCGGAAUCGCUAGUAAUCGCGGAUCAGCAUGCCGCGGUGAAUACGUUCCCGGGCCUUGUACACACCGCCCGUCACUUAAAAAAGAGUUGUAACAUUCAAACUCCGUGGGCUAUCAUAUGUUCGUAACAUACG
rnacentral:rRNA from 2 species